GAUGAACGCUGGCGGCGCGCCUAACACAUGCAAGUCGAACGGAGAUAAGGAGGAGCUUGCUCCACCUUAUCUGAGUGGCGGACGGGUGAGUAACGCGUGAGCAACCUUUCCUUCACAGGGGAAUAACGCACCGAAAGGUGCACUAAUACCGCAUGAGACCACAGCUCUGCAUGGAGCAGUGGCUAAAGGAGAAAUCCGGUGAAGGGUGGGCUCGCGUCUGAUUAGCUAGUUGGUAAGGUAACGGCUUACCAAGGCAACGAUCAGUAGCCGACCUGAGAGGGUGACCGGCCACAUUGGGACUGAGACACGGCCCAA
rnacentral:rRNA from 1 species